rnacentral:rRNA from 1 species
AUGGCGUCCCAACGGUCUUCUUGCUCUCGCGCACCCACCACCACCGCCGGCCCAAUCUGCGGCCGCCGCGGCACCCAACCACAGCCCCACCCGCCGGUCGCUCACUCCGAGGUCCGGCGGCCAGAUAACGCCCCAAGACAGAAUGGUGUUGGUGCGGCUGCUCCAUCCGGCACUAUCCCUGACGCGCCGCUUCCUGGUCGGUCUCGUCCCGCCUCGGCCGAUCUGGAGCCAGACAACAGCAGCUGGGUCGAGGUGCGUAAUAGUCGUCGUCAGCGCCGUCAAGACGACGCGCCCUCCGUCAGUCGGCCCGUCCGCCCCAAGCUUUGGAUUCCUAGAUGGCUGGUGGGCAGAUGCUUUAGGUGCCUGGACUCGGGUCACAAUAAAGCGGAGUGCUUUGGGGAGAUUCGAUGCCAUCGUUGCUGGGAAUCCGGCCACAUCGCCCGUGAUUGUCCGCCACGCCCAGACUCGCCACCCCGCCACCGUCCGCCAGCAAGCGCCGCCCCGCCCCCCACCCCGCCCCGCGCUCUGCUUGCCACAGUGGGGGGGAGGCGGCCUGCGGUUUCGCCCGAGGCCUUGGUCCAGUCCCUGACUCGAAUCUGCGGGGUGGAAAGGCGGCAUGUCAGGGUCGAGGUCACCCACCCCGCCGAUUUCUUCAUCACGUUCGCCUCCAACGCGGAUUGUGACAGGGUGUUCUCCUUCUCUGGCAAGCUGCGCUGCGCGGGGGCACCCAUUGCCUUCCGGCGAUGGCACAGGAGUGCGCUUGCAUCGAGCGGCAAGCUCGGUUUCUUCUGCAAGCUCGGGAUCGAGGGCUUGCCGGCGAGCGCCUGGGAAUGCGGGGCCAUCACCCAGCUCAUCAACAACCUGAACGGCCAGCUUGUUGAGAUAUUUCCUCCGGAGGACCGUUGGCAACUGGAGGUCACUGCAUGGAUGCGCAACCCGUCGGGCAUCCCGAAGAUUUAUGAUCUGGAGGUGCCGGAGCCGGUUGGCCUGAUGGAUUCG